GAUGAAGAACGCAGCGAAAUGCGAUAAGUAAUGUGAAUUGCAGAAUUCAGUGAAUCAUCGAAUCUUUGAACGCACAUUGCGCCCAUUAGUAUUCUAGUGGGCAUGUCUGUUCGAGCGUCAUUUCAACCCUUAAGCCUAGCUUAGUAUUGGGAAUCGACUUUACUGUCGUUCCUCAAAUUCAACGGCGGAUUUAUAGCAAUCUCUGAACGUAGUAAUUUUUUUCCUCGUUUUUGAAAUACUAUAAACCUCAGCCGCUAAACCCCCAAUUUUUCUAUGGUUGACCUCGGAUCAGGUAGGAAUACCCGCUGAACUUAAGCAUAUCAAUAAGCGGAGGA
rnacentral:misc_RNA from 1 species